rnacentral:rRNA from 1 species
GGGUUGUGAGGUUAAGCGACUAAGCGUACACGGUGGAUGCCCUGGCAGUCAGAGGCGAUGAAGGACGUGCUAAUCUGCGAUAAGCGUCGGUAAGGUGAUAUGAACCGUUAUAACCGGCGAUUUCCGAAUGGGGAAACCCAGUGUGUUUCGACACACUAUCAUUAACUGAAUCCAUAGGUUAAUGAGGCGAACCGGGGGAACUGAAACAUCUAAGUACCCCGAGGAAAAGAAAUCAACCGAGAUUCCCCCAGUAGCGGCGAGCGAACGGGGAGCAGCCCAGAGCCUGAAUCAGUGUGUGUGUUAGUGGAAGCGUCUGGAAAGGCGCGCGAUACAGGGUGACAGCCCCGUACACAAAAAUGCACAUGCUGUGAGCUCGAUGAGUAGGGCGGGACACGUGGUAUCCUGUCUGAAUAUGGGGGGACCAUCCUCCAAGGCUAAAUACUCCUGACUGACCGAUAGUGAACCAGUACCGUGAGGGAAAGGCGAAAAGAACCCCGGCGAGGGGAGUGAAAAAGAACCUGAAACCGUGUACGUACAAGCAGUGGGAGCACGCUUAGGCGUGUGACUGCGUACCUUUUGUAUAAUGGGUCAGCGACUUAUAUUCUGUAGCAAGGUUAACCGAAUAGGGGAGCCGAAGGGAAACCGAGUCUUAACUGGGCGUUAAGUUGCAGGGUAUAGACCCGAAACCCGGUGAUCUAGCCAUGGGCAGGUUGAAGGUUGGGUAACACUAACUGGAGGACCGAACCGACUAAUGUUGAAAAAUUAGCGGAUGACUUGUGGCUGGGGGUGAAAGGCCAAUCAAACCGGGAGAUAGCUGGUUCUCCCCGAAAGCUAUUUAGGUAGCGCCUCGUGAAUUCAUCUCCGGGGGUAGAGCACUGUUUCGGCAAGGGGGUCAUCCCGACUUACCAACCCGAUGCAAACUGCGAAUACCGGAGAAUGUUAUCACGGGAGACACACGGCGGGUGCUAACGUCCGUCGUGAAGAGGGAAACAACCCAGACCGCCAGCUAAGGUCCCAAAGUCAUGGUUAAGUGGGAAACGAUGUGGGAAGGCCCAGACAGCCAGGAUGUUGGCUUAGAAGCAGCCAUCAUUUAAAGAAAGCGUAAUAGCUCACUGGUCGAGUCGGCCUGCGCGGAAGAUGUAACGGGGCUAAACCAUGCACCGAAGCUGCGGCAGCGACGCUGAUGCGUUGUUGGGUAGGGGAGCGUUCUGUAAGCCUGCGAAGGUGUGCUGUGAGGCAUGCUGGAGGUAUCAGAAGUGCGAAUGCUGACAUAAGUAACGAUAAAGCGGGUGAAAAGCCCGCUCGCCGGAAGACCAAGGGUUCCUGUCCAACGUUAAUCGGGGCAGGGUGAGUCGACCCCUAAGGCGAGGCCGAAAGGCGUAGUCGAUGGGAAACAGGUUAAUAUUCCUGUACUUGGUGUUACUGCGAAGGGGGGACGGAGAAGGCUAUGUUGGCCGGGCGACGGUUGUCCCGGUUUAAGCGUGUAGGCUGGUUUUCCAGGCAAAUCCGGAAAAUCAAGGCUGAGGCGUGAUGACGAGGCACUACGGUGCUGAAGCAACAAAUGCCCUGCUUCCAGGAAAAGCCUCUAAGCAUCAGGUAACAUCAAAUCGUACCCCAAACCGACACAGGUGGUCAGGUAGAGAAUACCAAGGCGCUUGAGAGAACUCGGGUGAAGGAACUAGGCAAAAUGGUGCCGUAACUUCGGGAGAAGGCACGCUGAUAUGUAGGUGAAGCGACUUGCUCGUGGAGCUGAAAUCAGUCGAAGAUACCAGCUGGCUGCAACUGUUUAUUAAAAACACAGCACUGUGCAAACACGAAAGUGGACGUAUACGGUGUGACGCCUGCCCGGUGCCGGAAGGUUAAUUGAUGGGGUCAGCGCAAGCGAAGCUCUUGAUCGAAGCCCCGGUAAACGGCGGCCGUAACUAUAACGGUCCUAAGGUAGCGAAAUUCCUUGUCGGGUAAGUUCCGACCUGCACGAAUGGCGUAAUGAUGGCCAGGCUGUCUCCACCCGAGACUCAGUGAAAUUGAACUCGCUGUGAAGAUGCAGUGUACCCGCGGCAAGACGGAAAGACCCCGUGAACCUUUACUAUAGCUUGACACUGAACAUUGAGCCUUGAUGUGUAGGAUAGGUGGGAGGCUUUGAAGUGUGGACGCCAGUCUGCAUGGAGCCGACCUUGAAAUACCACCCUUUAAUGUUUGAUGUUCUAACGUUGACCCGUAAUCCGGGUUGCGGACAGUGUCUGGUGGGUAGUUUGACUGGGGCGGUCUCCUCCUAAAGAGUAACGGAGGAGCACGAAGGUUGGCUAAUCCUGGUCGGACAUCAGGAGGUUAGUGCAAUGGCAUAAGCCAGCUUGACUGCGAGCGUGACGGCGCGAGCAGGUGCGAAAGCAGGUCAUAGUGAUCCGGUGGUUCUGAAUGGAAGGGCCAUCGCUCAACGGAUAAAAGGUACUCCGGGGAUAACAGGCUGAUACCGCCCAAGAGUUCAUAUCGACGGCGGUGUUUGGCACCUCGAUGUCGGCUCAUCACAUCCUGGGGCUGAAGUAGGUCCCAAGGGUAUGGCUGUUCGCCAUUUAAAGUGGUACGCGAGCUGGGUUUAGAACGUCGUGAGACAGUUCGGUCCCUAUCUGCCGUGGGCGCUGGAGAAUUGAGGGGGGCUGCUCCUAGUACGAGAGGACCGGAGUGGACGCAUCACUGGUGUUCGGGUUGUCAUGCCAAUGGCACUGCCCGGUAGCUAAAUGCGGAAGAGAUAAGUGCUGAAAGCAUCUAAGCACGAAACUUGCCCCGAGAUGAGUUCUCCCUGACUCCUUGAGAGUCCUGAAGGAACGUUGAAGACGACGACGUUGAUAGGCCGGGUGUGUAAGCGCAGCGAUGCGUUGAGCUAACCGGUACUAAUGAACCGUGAGGCUUAACCUUACAACGCCGAAG